UCUCCGUAGGUGAACCUGCGGAGGGAUCAUUACCGAGUGAGGGCCUCCGGGUCCGACCUCCAACCCUUUGUCUACCGACCCUGUUGCCUCGGGGGUGACCCUGCCGUCCGCGGCUGAGCGCCCCCGGGGUCAAUCAAACACUGCAUUCUCUGCGUCGGAGUAUUAGUAAAUCUAAUCAAAACUUUCAACAACGGAUCUCUUGGUUCUGGCAUCGAUGAAGAACGCAGC
rnacentral:misc_RNA from 1 species